rnacentral:siRNA from 1 species
GAAUCUUGGCGAACGGCUAUAAU